AUUGAACGCUGGCGGCAGGCUUAACACAUGCAAGUCGAGCGGGGUGAUGGUGCUUGCACUAUCACUUAGCGGCGGACGGGUGAGUAAUGCUUAGGAAUCUGCCUAUUAGUGGGGGACAACAUCUCGAAAGGGAUGCUAAUACCGCAUACGUCCUACAGGAGAAAGCAGGGGAUCUUUAUGACCUUGCGCUAAUAGAUGAGCCUAAGUCGGAUUAGCUAGUUGGUGGGGUAAAGGCCUACCAAGGCGACGAUCUGUAGCGGGUCUGAGAGGAUGAUCCGCCACACUGGGACUGAGACACGGCCCAGACUCCUACGGGAGGCAGCAGUGGGGAAUAUUGGACAAUGGGGGGAACCCUGAUCCAGCCAUGCCGCGUGUGUGAAGAAGGCCUUAUGGUUGUAAAGUACUUUAAGCGAGGAGGAGGCUCUUUUGGUUAAUACCCAGAAUGAGUGGACGUUACUCGCAGAAUAAGCACCGGCUAACUCUGUGCCAGCCGCCGCCGUAACAC
rnacentral:rRNA from 1 species